GACGGCAGUCAGUUGGAGAGACCAUGGAUCGAUCAUCUGCGCCAUUAGAACAGAAAACAGCAGCAUAGAAUGCUGCCACGUAGUACCACUCCCUCUCCCUCCGCCGCGCCGUCCACGACACCAUUCAUUGUAACGCCUCUGGUUUCAAUCAUCCGAGGGAGGAAAGAUCCCUCCUAGUCCUGGUGGACCCGAUCUCCAACCAAAAAGCCCUAAAAGAUCUUUAGAUUCCGUCAUUAAAAUACCUUCCCUAUUGAAUUCUCGAAUCGAAUCCACAAUCCCGAGAUUUUUUCCUCUGCAAAAAACCGUCCAGGAUUCGACUCCAAGCAUCGAAUUCGUGAGCCGAGGGGGAGAUCCCGGGGAAUGGACUCCCUGGAGACAUAGAGCAUCGGAUUCGCGCUUUGUUGUGGUGAGGUUUUGUAUUUUGGGGCGNN
rnacentral:lncRNA from 1 species